CCACUAAUUACCUGGGGAUCUUGUUAAAAUGCAGAUUCUGAUUCAAUAGGUCUGGGGAGGAGCUUAGGAAUCUGUUUCUAAUAAGCUCCCAGGUGAUGCUCAU
rnacentral:pre_miRNA from 1 species